rnacentral:lncRNA from 1 species
UCAGUUCCUGACAAUGGACAACAACACACCAGCCAGUAGGUUCUAUUUCAUUGUCAUCUACGAUUUGAUUUUUCGUGAAAUACCCUUUUUUACUUAUUCAUUGUUGCAUUGCUUGUAUUAUAUGAUGCUUAGACGAUACUAGAUGGUCAGUUUCUAUUAUUGACAUCAGAUUUAUAGUAGAUAUUAGAUAACGCGAGUAUUUUAUGCAGGUUCACAAGGUACAAGUUGAAGUGCCAAAUUGUCGGAAAGGACUUGGUACUUAUCCAUUUCUCUAUAUUAGCAUAGAAUAUGCUUGCUUUUGUUCAUGUUGUUCAUAUUAUGUAAACUAUUUUUUUCUGAAGCAGUUGAUAUUGCUAAUUAGAUAGCUAUAAACACUCUGCAGUUAUCCCUAUUUGCUCCUCCCUUGAUGUGAAGAACAACUAUUAUGGGUCUUAAUUAUUGAUUUAUUUCUGAUAAUUCUGAUGUCAGUAACUGAAGUUAAUAAAAUUAGACUUAAUAGUAAUGCACUAAUAAAAUUGAAUGUAGGAUAGAAUGUUCAAGUAUCAUCAUUAUUUAUUCUGAAGCAUGCCAUUGUGAUAGGUUUAGGUUGUACUUUACAAAUUAAAUUCCAUUAUGCAGUUUCCUUUUCCUUUUUUAUUAACACUAUAUUUCUGGGUGUUUCUAAUAGUUUGUUUUUACACAAAUAACCUAGGGAGUUGCACAUUGUGAAUUUGUCAGGUACUCUGCUCCUCAGGAACUGUUGCCUGCCUUUCUUCCCUCUUCCAUGGGCCCGAAAAGAUUGUUCUUCUAAUACAUCAUAAGACACAUGCAUUAGAGUCAAAUAAUAAACAUCAGAUAACAAGCAAGAUCAAGUAUGAAAAUGUUCUCAUAAUUAUUUUCUGGUAAACGGAUAUGACUAGAAGAAUUAUACGGUGAUUGGUAAGGAAAUCCUCAAAGAAAUCUUAGCAAUUAAAACCAUUUUCUUCAUGUUGUAUUUUUUUUCCCAGAAGUUAGAACGUGCUAAUUCAUACCAUGUAUAAGUUUUUUAUGUCCUUUUGCUUCUUCACAGUACUUUUUGCUUAUUCAUUGUAGUUCUAUAGUGUCUGAACAUUGCCAUUAUUGUUCACAAUUCACAUAUGUAAUUCCAGGCAUGCAGCUGAAUAUGUGAAAAGACUUUCUCCAAUCAUCUUGAAUAACAUCUUGGAAGGGAAAACGAG